rnacentral:lncRNA from 1 species
CACACUUCCCAUAAAGCGCCUGCCCGCAAAUACCACCUUGGUUUUUUUUCCCCAUAGAGCAUUGACCUAACUCUGUUCCAGGAAUGGUCUGAGAAAGAAGAUACUAAAAUAGGAUAUUAGAGCUGUUUUGCCCACUGGCUGGCUGACAAGGAGGAUUCCAUCACUGAUGAUAUGUGGAGUACAGAAAACCCCUGGCAUGGUGUGGAAGUGGUCUUGUUAACACUCUUGCUGACGUUAAACUGGGAUGGGAUGCUAGAGGCAAGAAACAUGCUGAGAGAUUAAAUGCUUUUCCCUCUGCUUUGAAGAUGGUUGAACAGUUGAUCAUUCAGUUUAUUUCAAGGGUCUAGAUGAGUUGGGUCUGGGUUACAACUCAAGCCCGAUUAACUUCAUUUCCAGUUAGCCCAACUAUACAUGCCAUGAUCUGCUGCUUCUAAGAAGUGAAUGCUAGGAGAGGUGGCUGGGAGCGGAUCUAUCCAAUGCUGGCUCAGAGAAGGUAUCAGCCAAUGUUUGUGAAUGUGACAUCAGGCGGAGUUGUGAGAUUUAUCUUCAGCAACCUCCUAACAGCUUAUUUCUGUCUCCUGCAUGGUUCACUCUGUCUGUGUGCCAUUCUGUACAACAGCCCCCACUCAGAAACAUAACCAUGGCACAAAUACUGUACAAAAGAGAUUUCGACCUCAACAUUGCAUUGGAGAUGCUAACUUCUG